GUAGGGAAUAUUGCACAAUGGAGGAAACUCUGAUGCAGCGACGCCGCGUGAGUGAUGAAGGCCUUCGGGUCGUAAAGCUCUGUCGUAUGGGACUAACACAAUGAAGGUACCAUGCAAGAAAGGAUCGGCUAACUUCGUGCCAGCAGCCGCGGUAAGACGAGGGAUCCUAGCGUUGUUCGGAAUUAUUGGGCGUAAAGCGGGUGUAGGCGGACUUAUAAGUCAGGUGUGAAAUCCCAGGGCUCAACCCUGGAAGUGCACUUGAUACUGUAAGUCUUGAGUGUGGUAGAGGCUAUUAGAAUUCUUGGUGUAGUGGUGAAAUACGUAGAUAUCAAGAGGAAUACCGGAGGCGAAGGCGGAUAGCUGGGCCAACACUGACGCUGAGACCCGAAAGCGUGGGGAUCAAACAGGAUUAGAAACCCGGGUAGUCC
rnacentral:rRNA from 1 species